UACGGAGGGAGCUAGCGUUGUUCGGAAUUACUGGGCGUAAAGCGCACGUAGGCGGCUACUCAGGUCAGAGGUGAAAGCCCGGGGCUCAACCCCGGAACUGCCUUUGAAACUAGGUAGCUAGAAUCCUGGAGAGGUCAGUGGAAUUCCGAGUGUAGAGGUGAAAUUCGUAGAUAUUCGGAAGAACACCAGUGGCGAAGGCGACUGACUGGACAGGUAUUGACGCUGAGGUGCGAAAGCGUGGGGAGCAAACAGG
rnacentral:rRNA from 1 species